GUGUCCUAGGCGUAGAGGAACCACACCAAUCCAUCCCGAACUUGGUGGUUAAACUCUACUGCGGUGACGAUACUGUAGGGGAGAGUCCUGCUAGGAAACAGCGGCGAUUGAGUAGAGC